GUGCUCACCUCAGCAGUACAUGUACUAAAAUUAGAACGAUACAGAGAUUAGCAUGGCCCCUGUACAACAAUGAUACACAAAUUUGUGAAGUGUUCCACAGUUUU
ensembl:snRNA U6 U6 spliceosomal RNA